GCAGACACAUUCCAGCCAAUCAGCAGCAGACCCUCCCUCCCAGACCCUACCUCCCAGACCCUCCCACCUCCUGGACAGCAUCCAUUUUACAUUCAUUGUGAAGCUGCAUUCUUAGUGAGCUGUCCAGGAGGUGGGAGGGUCUGGGAGGGAGGGUCUGCUGCUGAUUGGCUGGAAUGUGUCUG
rnacentral:miRNA from 1 species